GAGCAUAAGGGUUGUCUGUCAGCGAGAGAUUGAUGGUGACAGAGGAAAUGGGUAUUCGUGGAAGCUGUUGAUGCUACAACAGAAGAAGUAGAUGCAAAGGAGGAGUUCCAUAUUUGCCCACACCAGUCUACCCUUCUGGGGCAAAAGCAAGGCAGUCUUAAGAGGCACCAUCUCAACCGAGCUUUUAGUAAUCCCUCUGUUCUGUUCAUUUAUCACAAGAAGCAACUUUAAAGUCUUUAUACUUUAAGGGUCAAAUCAGCUAUUACCUUGAAAUCCACAAAGUUCUACAGUAGAGGUGGGCAAGUUGUAGCCAUGCAGAUACUUUGUUCAAGAACACCCAUAAAGUAACUACUGACUAUGUGGUUAGGGCUGAUGGGAAUUGUAGGCCAAAACAUGUGGAUGACCAAAAGUUGUCCACUUCUUGUCUACAAGCAGGAGGCACAUAGCUCUAGCUUUGAAAGAAAAAUACUACAUAAAUAGACAGAUACUAAGUUCUGUCUACAGCUGUCUACAGGAAUAUGUUUAUUCAUCUUAUGGUCAGCUUACCCCACAUGAGCUUCAACUAUACAUCACAGUCAACACAUUAACCUUAUAAGGCAUAUAACAAAAGGCAGGGAAGAGAAAACGUGUUGUCUGAACCGCAAAUGGGCUGGAAUCAGCUUUCCACUUCUCUUAUACUGUAUCAGGAAUGGGAACCAUUUGGACCUCCAGGUACUGGUACAACUCUCAUCCCAACCCAUGUAGCCAGUGAUAUAGAUCAGCUCCCCAUCACUGAUGGAUCAAAAUACCUGAUUGUUGAUAACAAAGGAGAAAAAGUGGAAGAGAAGCAUUUGUGAUGGGAAUGAGCAUUCUGGUCAGUUUUGGAUUAAGUCUGCAGAAUAAGCAACAUGAUCCAUUUUAAACGUCAUAUGCAAAAGUGCUGAAGCAUGAAAAUCCUGAUGAAAUGUAAGAAAUGAUUGUGCAUUUUAAUGAGAAAAAUGUUUGGGUGGUGCGGGCAUGUGAUUCAGAGUGGAGAACUGACACGAAGGGAAAGAGCUUAGCUCCUUCCACCCACCACUUCUGUACUCCAAUUUUAAAAACUGUCUUUGGGGUUUCAAUAAAAAGAAUGUACCUAUGGGAGGACCUUAAUUUUGCACCAUGAGAGUGUAAAGUUUCCGUGGUCCACUAGUGGGCAGUAGUAUAUCUUGUUUAUAGGAGUCCAUUCUAAAUUGUGACAGUGCAACCCUAUACAUCCCUGCUCUUCAAUAAGCCCCACUGAAUUCAAUGAAAAUACCAGGUAAAUUAGCAUAGGAUUGCAGUGGAGCACAAUUUUCUGGACUAAGUCAUUCUCAGUUAUGAAAUAGGUAACAUUUAAAGAAAUUUUGCAAUGCAAAUCUAAAACUUAUAUUGCUUAGAAUGAUUCUUCCAUCUUCUGUUGUUCAUUAACAAUAUUUGCAUAUGCAUUUUCAUAAUCAGCAUGAGAUCUUCAAAUGUGUUUUAGUUUCAAACAUGACAAUAGGAAUAUGGUGCCUUGAAAAUGAAUUUAAAUUUAAAGAUAAGGAGGAAAUCUAACAUUGGUUUUAAGUUGUAUGUAAGCUACAUUCUGAUUGGCAAACUUUGCUUUCUGGUACAGUUAAGGGACUUUGAGUUGUCCUUCAAUUUCUUUUUUCUUGUCUUUCUCCCCCAUUUACUUUUGUUAGGUCACACUGCUGAGAAACUACUGGAAAAGCAAAGUGAAGAAUGAAUGGUUGAGUGGAAAAUAUAGCAAUAUUCAUUC